rnacentral:rRNA from 1 species
UACGUAGGGGGCAAGCGUUGUCCGGAUUUAUUUUUCUUAAAGAGCGUGUAGGCGGUUAUACAGGUCCGCUGUGAAAACUGGAGGCUUAACCUCCAGACGUCGGUGGAAACCGUAUGACUAGAGUCCGGAAGAGGAGAGUGGAAUUCCUGGUGUAGCGGUGAAAUGCGUAGAUAUCAGGAAGAACACCCGUGGCGAAGGCGGCUCUCUGGGACGGUUCUGACGCUGAGACGCGAAAGCGUGGGGAGCGAACAGG